rnacentral:lncRNA from 1 species
GAGGAGACCAACAAGCUGGAAGAUAUCCAGCUGGUGAAGUUGUAUCAACAUCUUUCUUCUGGGGAAGUGAGAAGGACCAUUCUGCCGUCUCAUCCUCUGAUCUCACACAGUCCUGUCCUGUCUCUCCUAUUCUCUCUUUCAUUUUUGUCCUUCUCUGCUCUCUGCUUCUAUUUCUCCAUCUGUCAUUUGUCUCUGUAUGUGCUUCUCUUUGUCUCCCUUCUAAUUUCUUUCAGGAUCGAACAUCCCUCAUUGUGGGAAAAUUCUUUGUUGUGUCUAAUUCAAAUCCCUUACUCUGUCGAUUAAAUCUCCUCUCUUUCUGGUUUUCUUUCUGGUCAAUAUGUUCUCCUCUGCAUCAGGGUCUCUUGAAACUGCUAUUAAUCAUGACUUCCUUGUGAUCUCCCUGCUUCCUCACGGGAAUCUAGGCCAGCGUUUCCACUAGGGACCAGUGUUGAAUGGCUUGACAGGGUGGAGAUGGAGGGAGAGCCCCCAGGGUCAGGGUGAAGAAGUGAAGGGUGCCAAAAAAGGAGGCAUCAGCCUCAACUUUUCCUACCUUCUUCCUGAUUCCCCCAGGACUCCGGCUCACUAACAGGGAAGGUGGAGUGUCAGAGAGAUCUUCCCAGAAACAGGCUGGAAAUACUGGAGCAGGAAAAUGCCCAGAUGGCCUUGGUGAUUCAGAGGUGGAAGCUGGAGAAGGGGCCAACACUUCAGAUAGAGCUGGAUGCCUGCAAGCAGGAGCUGGAACUAGAACGAAACUUGUGCCUGGCCCUGCAGCAUCAGCUUCGGGAGCUGCAAGGUGGUGGGGCUCAGCAGAGGGCAGAGCCCCCACAAGCAGUUCCAGGGCCAGGGCCAUGCCCCCCAGGGACCUCAAAGAGGAUGGAAGUUGAACCCCAGCGAGACACGCGCCAGUCCAGAGCAGAGCCUCCAAGGCCCCUGCAGGAGCUUCUAGGAUCUUCCUCAGGAAGUCCGCAGGUGCCCAAACUGCCUGGGCCAUUUCAGAGAGACAGCCAAGGGGGCCAGGGAGCAGGAGCUCCUGGGCCCUUGUUGGAGGCAGAAAUCUUAAGACAGCAGCUGCAGACAGAGAGAGCCUUGGGGCAAGAGCGGGAGCAGUACCUUCAGAGCCUCACCUCAGAACUUCAGGAGCUGAAGCUGAGGAAAUCAGAGGAGACCAAGCUCAUGGCGUGCAGGAGCGAGAACCUGAGGUUGGAGCGCCUCGUGUCAUCUCUGCAACAGAAGCUGGAGGAGACGGAGCGGGCCCUGAAGGAGCCCCAGACACCGAGGGCCUCUGAGCAGGGGGAGCUGGAGAUGACGCCCUCCUCCCUGCUUAAGAAACUCUCUCUGAACUCCCGCCUGGGCUCCAGUCAGUUGGCCCCAGAAGACCUGAAGAGGGGACCCCGAACUGGCUGGGAGGGGGUUCCCCAGGGCCACUGCCCCCAUUGUAAUGCCUUUCUGGAACAGCUGGGUGCCAUGCUUCAAGGUGAGUUCCCCAUCGCCUGCUAG